rnacentral:rRNA from 1 species
GAUGAACGCUGGCGGCGUGCCUAAUACAUGCAAGUCGAGCGAACAGACGAGGAGCUUGCUCCCUUGACGUUAGCGGGGGACGGGUGAGUAACACGUGGAUAACCUCCUUAUAAGACUGGGAAAAUUUCGGAAAACGGGAGCAAAUACGGGAUAAUAUAUUGAACCGCAGGGUUCAUUGGUGAAAGACGGUUUUGCUGUCACUAAUAGAUGAAUCCGCGCCGCAUUAGCUAGUUGGUAGGGUAACGGCUUACCAAGGCAACGAUGCGUAGCCGACCUGAGAGGGUGAUCGGCCACACUGGAACUGAGACACGGUCCAGACUCCUACGGGAGGCAGCAGUAGGGAAUCUUCCGCAAUGGGCGAAAGCCUGACGGAGCAACGCCGCGUGAGUGAUGAAGGUCUUCGGAUCGUAAAACUCUGUUAUUAGGGAAGAACAAAUGUGUAAGUAACUAUGCACGUCUUGACGGUACCUAAUCAGAAAGCCACGGCUAACUACGUG